AGACAGAGUCCAGGCUGGAGUGCAUGGCACGAUCUUGGCCCACUGCAAUCUGUUUCCUGGGUUCAAGCGAUUCUUGUGCCUCAGCCUUCCAAGUAGCUGAGGUAGGAGAAUUGCUUGAACCCAGGAGGCAGAGGUUGCAGUGAGCUGAGAUUCUGCCACUGCACCAUAGCCUGGGUGACAGAGCAAGACUCCUUCUCGAACAAAAAAAAAAAAAAAAAAAAAAAAGAAGAAGAAAACUGUAUUUUCUUUGCCUAAGCCUAGUUAGAAAGAAACUACUGUCCCAUCACAAGGGACUAAAUAAACUGUAACUCUUUUGAUUGUUAUCUAUUUUAUCUACAGAUGCUACAAUAGAAAACGUUUCAGUUGUUAGG
rnacentral:antisense_RNA from 1 species